rnacentral:sRNA from 1 species
GAGGAGGUCCUGUGCAGCCUUCUGACUCCUUUAUUACUUUCACAGAGUCAGAUUUCUUUCUUCUAAAAUAGCCCCUCUAUGUGAUGCAACUGUGACAAUAGCUCACAGAUACACCCCCAAAGAGCAACUGAAGAUUCAUACGCAGCUGGCAGAUAUUAUCAUAGUUGCUGCAGGUAUUCCAAAGUUGAUUACGUCUGAUAUGGUUAAAGAAGGUGCUGCUGUAAUUGAUGUGGGUAUCAACUAUGUCCACGAUCCAGUGACAGGAAAGACAAAAUUAGUUGGAGAUGUGGACUUUGAAGCUGUUAAAAAGAAAGCUGGCUUUAUCACUCCAGUUCCGGGAGGUGUGGGACCCAUGACAGUGGCAAUGCUUCUGAAGAACACCCUUCUGGCAGCUAAAAAAAUCAUUUACUAGAUCACAUGAAAGGAUAAAGCAAACUGAAGUCAUGCUAUUUGUUUAUUUGACAAAGGGUAAAACCUUUAUAUUUUACUACAAAGCUAUUUAUCUCUACAUGGUAUUUAUUUUUUCAUGGAUGAAAUCAUUGUGAAUCAAAUGAUUCACAUAAUUUUAUGCAUUUCCUGCUAAUUUAUUUUGA